rnacentral:rRNA from 1 species
AACGAACGCUGGCGGCAGGCUUAACACAUGCAAGUCGAGCGCCCCGCAAGGGGAGCGGCAGACGGGUGAGUAACGCGUGGGAAUCUACCCAUCUCUACGGAAUAACGCAUGGAAACGUGUGCUAAUACCGUAUACGUCCUUCGGGAGAAAGAUUUAUCGGAGAUGGAUGAGCCCGCGUUGGAUUAGCUAGUUGGUGGGGUAAAGGCCUACCAAGGCGACGAUCCAUAGCUGGUCUGAGAGGAUGAUCAGCCACAUUGGGACUGAGACACGGCCCAAACUCCUACGGGAGGCAGCAGUGGGGAAUAUUGGACAAUGGGCGCAAGCCUGAUCCAGCCAUGCCGCGUGAGUGAUGAAGGCCCUAGGGUUGUAAAGCUCUUUUGUGCGGGAAGAUAAUGACGGUACCGCAAGAAUAAGCCCCGGCUAACUUCGUGCCAGCAGCCGCCGUAAUAC